rnacentral:rRNA from 1 species
AGUGAACGCUGGCGGUAGGCCUAACACAUGCAAGUCGAACGGCAGCACAGUAAGAGCUCGCUCUUACGGGUGGCGAGUGGCGGACGGGUGAGGAAUAUAUCGGAAUCUACUUUUUCGUGGGGGAUAACGUAGGGAAACUUACGCUAAUACCGCAUACGACCUACGGGUGAAAGCAGGGGAUCUUCGGAUCUUGCGCGAUUGAAUGAGCCGAUGUCGGAUUAGUUAGUUGGCGGGGUAAAGGCCCACCAAGGCGACGAUCCGUAGCUGGUCUGAGAGGAUGAUCAGCCACACUGGAACUGAGACACGGUCCAGACUCCUACGGGAGGCAGCAGUGGGGAAUAUUGGACAAUGGGCGCAAGCCUGAUCCAGCCAUACCGCGUGGGUGAAGAAGGCCUUCGGGUUGUAAAGCCCUUUUGUUGGGAAGGAAAAGCAGCAGGUUAAUACCCCGCUGUUCUGACGGUACCCAAAGAAUAAGCACCGGCUAACUUCGUG